CUGGAGGUAUCAGAAGUGCGAAUGCUGACAUAAGUAACGAUAAAGCGGGUGAAAAGCCCGCUCGCCGGAAGACCAAGGGUUCCUGUCCAACGUUAAUCGGGGCAGGGUGAGUCGACCCCUAAGGCGAGGCCGAAAGGCGUAGUCGAUGGGAAACAGGUUAAUAUUCCUGUACUUGGUGUUACUGCGAAGGGGGGACGGAGAAGGCUAUGUUGGCCGGGCGACGGUUGUCCCGGUUUAAGCGUGUAGGCUGGUUUUCCAGGCAAAUCCGGAAAAUCAAGGCUGAGGCGUGAUGACGAGGCACUACGGUGCUGAAGCAACAAAUGCCCUGCUUCCAGGAAAAGCCUCUAAGCAUCAGGUAACAUCAAAUCGUACCCCAAACCGACACAGGUGGUCAGGUAGAGAAUACCAAGGCGCUUGAGAGAACUCGGGUGAAGGAACUAGGCAAAAUGGUGCCGUAACUUCGGGAGAAGGCACGCUGAUAUGUAGGUGAAGUCCCUCGCGGAUGGAGCUGAAAUCAGUCGAAGAUACCAGCUGGCUGCAACUGUUUAUUAAAAACACAGCACUGUGCAAACACGAAAGUGGACGUAUACGGUGUGACGCCUGCCCGGUGCCGGAAGGUUAAUUGAUGGGGUUAGCCGCAAGGCGAAGCUCUUGAUCGAAGCCCCGGUAAACGGCGGCCGUAACUAUAACGGUCCUAAGGUAGCGAAAUUCCUUGUCGGGUAAGUUCCGACCUGCACGAAUGGCGUAAUGAUGGCCAGGCUGUCUCCACCCGAGACUCAGUGAAAUUGAACUCGCUGUGAAGAUGCAGUGUACCCGCGGCAAGACGGAAAGACCCCGUGAACCUUUACUAUAGCUUGACACUGAACAUUGAGCCUUGAUGUGUAGGAUAGGUGGGAGGCUUAGAAGUGUGGACGCCAGUCUGCAUGGAGCCGACCUUGAAAUACCACCCUUUAAUGUUUGAUGUUCUAACGUUGACCCGUAAUCCGGGUUGCGGACAGUGUCUGGUGGGUAGUUUGACUGGGGCGGUCUCCUCCUAAAGAGUAACGGAGGAGCACGAAGGUUGGCUAAUCCUGGUCGGACAUCAGGAGGUUAGUGCAAUGGCAUAAGCCAGCUUGACUGCGAGCGUGACGGCGCGAGCAGGUGCGAAAGCAGGUCAUAGUGAUCCGGUGGUUCUGAAUGGAAGGGCCAUCGCUCAACGGAUAAAAGGUACUCCGGGGAUAACAGGCUGAUACCGCCCAAGAGUUCAUAUCGACGGCGGUGUUUGGCACCUCGAUGUCGGCUCAUCACAUCCUGGGGCUGAAGUAGGUCCCAAGGGUAUGGCUGUUCGCCAUUUAAAGUGGUACGCGAGCUGGGUUUAGAACGUCGUGAGACAGUUCGGUCCCUAUCUGCCGUGGGCGCUGGAGAACUGAGGGGGGCUGCUCCUAGUACGAGAGGACCGGAGUGGACGCAUCACUGGUGUUCGGGUUGUCAUGCCAAUGGCACUGCCCGGUAGCUAAAUGCGGAAGAGAUAAGUGCUGAAAGCAUCUAAGCACGAAACUUGCCCCGAGAUGAGUUCUCCCUGACUCCUUGAGAG
rnacentral:rRNA from 1 species